CACUUUACCACCGGAGCCACCACCUGCACUGUAGCCGUACCCCUCAAAACCCUCUCUCCUCACCUUCUUUCCACCAUUACCACCGCCACCACCAAUCUCCUCUUCAUCAUCGUGCUCAUCCUCGUAAAAUUCUCUUCUCCCUUUCUUAACUGCCGCCACGGCCACAGCCCCCGACAUCCUCUCCGCCCCAGAGGAAUGAUAACCGUACUGAGGCAUCACCGCCACAUGAUGCCUGGGUCCAAGAUGGCCGCCUAGAAUACUCCUCACGGGAAGCAGAAAAUAAAACUCCUUAUCCCCAAUUUGCAACAGAUCUUGGGAAUCAAGCUUGACAGGAGGGUUACCAGGGAGAUGGAGGACACCUUCGACCAAGCAGCCGUUUUUACCAAGAACCUCUAGGGCAAAACGUCGGCGCGUGAAAUCGUAAAAGAUGCGAGCGUGGUGACGGGAGAUGUUCAUACCGCCACCAAGGCUGGAGAGGUCGACAUCGACGGUGGAUUUCUUGGAAUUGCGGCC
rnacentral:misc_RNA from 1 species